rnacentral:rRNA from 1 species
UACGUAGGGUGCGAGCGUUAAUCGGAAUUACUGGGCGUAAAGCGUGCGCAGGCGGUGAUGUAAGACAGGUGUGAAAUCCCCGGGCUUAACCUGGGAACUGCAUUUGUGACUGCAUCGCUGGAGUGCGGCAGAGGGGGAUGGAAUUCCGCGUGUAGCAGUGAAAUGCGUAGAUAUGCGGAGGAACACCGAUGGCGAAGGCAAUCCCCUGGGCCUGCACUGACGCUCAUGCACGAAAGCGUGGGAGCAACAGGAUUAG